UCCACAGAUCCUGCCUGAGCUUGUCAACUUGAAGGGCGGUUUUGGCUUCAGCACCAAUGGUGGGACCGCGAUGAAUCCUUGGACAACAGAGUGCGAGGACGCUUGCUAUCUUCACCCUCGGCUUUUCCCAACAACUCUGGAGAAGCCAUGACCAACAGCCAGAUGGACGUCUUGAAAAAAAAAUUUGGUCGAAGAGAAACGCCACUCGUCAACAGUGUUUGAGGACUUGGCAGACACCGCUAGUGCCAGGCUCUUGGUCAAGUUUUGAAACCUGCAGAAGACGGAGCUCCUAUGACCUGAAUUUAUUUCCACAGAUCCUGCCUGAGCUUGUCAACUUGAAGGGCGGUUUUGGCUUCAGCACCAAUGGUGGGACCGCGAUGAAUCCUUGGACAACAGAGUGCGAGGACGCUUGCUAUCUUCACCCUCGGCUUUUCCCAACAACUCUGGAGAAGCCAUGACCAACAGCCAGAUGGACGUCUUGAAAAAAAAAUUUGGUCGAAGAGAAACGCCACUCGUCAACAGUGUUUGAGGACUUGGCAGACACCGCUAGUGCCAGGCUCUUGGUCAAGUUUUGAAACCUGCAGAAGACGGAGCUCCUAUGACCUGAAUUUAUUUCCACAGAUCCUGCCUGAGCUUGUCAACUUGAAGGGCGGUUUUGGCUUCAGCACCAAUGGUGGGACCGCGAUGAAUCCUUGGACAACAGAGUGCGAGGACGCUUGCUAUCUUCACCCUCGGCUUUUCCCAACAACUCUGGAGAAGCCAUGACCAACAGCCAGAUGGACGUCUUGAAAAAAAAAUUUGGUCGAAGAGAAACGCCACUCGUCAACAGUGUUUGAGGACUUGGCAGACACCGCUAGUGCCAGGCUCUUGGUCAAGUUUUGAAACCUGCAGAAGACGGAGCUCCUAUGACCUGAAUUUAUUUCCACAGAUCCUGCCUGAGCUUGUCAACUUGAAGGGCGGUUUUGGCUUCAGCACCAAUGGUGGGACCGCGAUGAAUCCUUGGACAACAGAGUGCGAGGACGCUUGCUAUCUUCACCCUCGGCUUUUCCCAACAACUCUGGAGAAGCCAUGACCAACAGCCAGAUGGACGUCUUGAAAAAAAAAUUUGGUCGAAGAGAAACGCCACUCGUCAACAGUGUUUGAGGACUUGGCAGACACCGCUAGUGCCAGGCUCUUGGUCAAGUUUUGAAACCUGCAGAAGACGGAGCUCCUAUGACCUGAAUUUAUUUCCACAGAUCCUGCCUGAGCUUGUCAACUUGAAGGGCGGUUUUGGCUUCAGCACCAAUGGUGGGACCGCGAUGAAUCCUUGGACAACAGAGUGCGAGGACGCUUGCUAUCUUCACCCUCGGCUUUUCCCAACAACUCUGGAGAAGCCAUGACCAACAGCCAGAUGGACGUCUUGAAAAAAAAAUUUGGUCGAAGAGAAACGCCACUCGUCAACAGUGUUUGAGGACUUGGCAGACACCGCUAGUGCCAGGCUCUUGGUCAAGUUUUGAAACCUGCAGAAGACGGAGCUCCUAUGACCUGAAUUUAUUUCCACAGAUCCUGCCUGAGCUUGUCAACUUGAAGGGCGGUUUUGGCUUCAGCAUCAAUGGUCGGACCGCGAUGCCUCCUUGGAAAAACAGUGUACGAGAACGCUUGCUAUCUUCACCCUCAGCUUUUCCCAACAACAACUCUAGAGAAGCCGUGACCGACAGCCAGAUGGACGUCUUUGACAAAAAAAUUGGAGGAGAAGAGAUUGGACCAGAGCUUAUUUCCGUCUA